CAAGGCAUAGCUAUAAACCCAAAGCAUUCAGCUUACACCUGAAAGAUACCUCCACGAACAAGGUUGCCUUGA
rnacentral:tRNA from 1 species